rnacentral:rRNA from 1 species
GACGAACGCUGGCGGCGUGCCUAAUACAUGCAAGUUGAGCGAUGAAGAUUGGUGCUUGCACCAAUUUGAAGAGCAGCGAACGGGUGAGUAACGCGUGGGGAAUCUGCCUUUGAGCGGGGGACAACAUUUGGAAACGAAUGCUAAUACCGCAUAACAACUUUAAACAUAAGUUUUAAGUUUGAAAGAUGCAAUUGCAUCACUCAAAGAUGAUCCCGCGUUGUAUUAGCUAGUUGGUGAGGUAAAGGCUCACCAAGGCGAUGAUACAUAGCCGACCUAAGAGGGUGAUCGGCCACAUUGGGGCUGAGACACGGCCCAAACUCCUACGGGAGGCAGCAGUAGGGAAUCUUCGGCAAUGGACGAAAGUCUGACCGAGCAACGCCGCGUGAGUGAAGAAGGUUUUCGGAUCGUAAAACUCUGUUGGUAGAGAAGAACGUUGGUGAGAGUGGAAAGCUCAUCAAGUGACGGUAACUACCCAGAAAGGGACGGCUAACUACGUG